AAGAACUGUAUGAUAGAUCCUCUAAAGUUGGAGGUCUCUGGUAAGAGAAAAAAAAAAGAGAAAUUCAAAAUGUGAGAGGCAUUCAUUCUGACUUCAUUAGUCUGAAGACAGAUGGAGAAAGGAAUACAAGCAGCUCCAUGGGGAAGGCAGAUCCCCAAUGACAGCAGAUUUCUAUUGUAAAAAAGUGUGUUUAAUACAGCGAGUAAUAAAGAAAGUAAUGGUCACCAAGAAAGAAAGAGUACUACGGAUUAAGAUAAAAUUCUAAAGAAUAUCUGCUGAAUUCUUCAUGCAUCUACUAUGAUUCUACAGACCUAUAAAAUGAACCCAUGGUCCAGUUCUGCAAAGGCAUCUGUGAGUUAUGAGAUUUGGGGUCCUCCCAAGGAAUUCUAGCUGAUAUCAUCUCACAAAACCUGACUUUAUUGAGAAAGUGGAUUGUUCCCAUUGAAAUAUGAGCCCCAGUGUUUGAUAGUGCUUGGACUAGUGCAUUGUGGGAAAGAGAAUGAAGCACUUGUUAUCACCACAUGAGGGAGGAACACAGCCAUUCCUGGGAAGGCGUGGAGAAAGAAGACAAUGGAAGAAAAGCAGAAGACCCAAGCUCUUGGAACCUGUCUAAGAAAACAAAGGACAGCUCACAGAGUGGGAGGAAGUAUUUGCAAAGCACGGAUCUGAUAAAUGUGCAGUAUCCAGAAUAUACAAAAAGCACUUGCAACUCAACAACAGAAAAGACAAUCCAAUGACACUGUUAUUUCAUGUUGUUUCAGAACCUGUGAUGCUUCUCCUACUGAGACCUAAUCACUGGAUACCAGAAAAUAGCCUCUGCUAUUAAAGAAAAUCUCCAAGAUUUUGUCUAAGGAAAUUUCAGAAGGCCGUAAAUAUCAAAUGAGAAUUCAGUCAAUGCAUCCAAACAAUGGAUGUUAAACAAUAGAGAGUCAAUGCCCACAACUAUUGACCAACUGUUUGUGAUGUGUUUGCUAGUAUAUGCUAUUCAAAAAGAAUAAGACCCAUAACUUAAUGAAACUGAACAAAUGCCAAAGCAAAUCUGGAGAAAAGCCUCAGCAAAACUGUAAUUCCAGCACUUGGCAGGUGGAGAUAGUGGAUCCCAGGAACAAGCUGACCAGGCAGACUAGGCAUAUCACUGAGCUCUGUGUUCAAGUGAGAGUCUGUCUCAAUGAAUAAGGGAAAUAUAUUCAUCUGCUGCUUAUUUAGCUUGAGGUGCAAAUUUUUCAAGAAAGAAGCACAAUUGGCUUGGCCCCAGCGGCUAAAAACUGGCAGGUGUUUUAUGAGGAAGUUGUUUCAAGAAGACGAGGUGUUUUCUGUCAAGAGUGGAGAAGAGGAAGAGGAAGGAUAAAGGAAUGUGAGUCGUGAACUGCCCAGCACUGUGGGCAGCUAGAAGCUGACCCCACUGAGGAACCACAUGGAGACUGAGAUCCUGCUCAAAGUUUGAUUCCAUCGCAGGAAGUAAGAGAGGAUUGCAAUUGCCUUCCGGCUUCUGUACCAUGAGUGACAAGCGCUGCUUUGUGGGAUUGCGAAUGUCUUUACUCUUCUGGGAUCCUGUGGCAGAAAGAUGGAACUGGUCCUUGUAGGCAGCCCACGGACACAGCCGGGUUGCCUGAUGCGGCUUGGGGAUAGAAUGCAGGCCACUUCUCACUAGGCUUGUCACAGGGAUGCCUGCAGAAAGGAGGAUAAAGGGACCACUGGCCAGGCACAGGCUGGAUUCAGACAGCAUUUUCAGAGGAGUAAUAUCGUACUUCAGUUUAUUUUCUGUGACUGAGCAGAGUCCUUCUGUGUUAAACACUUAGAGAACAGCUGCAGAUAAAAAUGAAAGCGCUCAACUUAGUAUCUUCUAACUCCU